GUAGGUGGCAAGCGUUAUCCGGAUUUAUUGGGCGUAAAGCGAGCGCAGGCGGUCUUUUAAGUCUAAUGUGAAAGCCUUCGGCUCAACCGAAGAAGUGCAUUGGAAACUGGGAGACUUGAGUGCAGAAGAGGACAGUGGAACUCCAUGUGUAGCGGUGAAAUGCGUAGAUAUAUGGAAGAACACCAGUGGCGAAGGCGGCUGUCUGGUCUGUAACUGGCGCUGAGGCUCGAAAGCAUGGGUAGCGAACAGGAUUAGAUACCCUGGUAGUCCAUGCCGUAAACGAUGAUUACUAAGUGUUGGAGGGUUUCCGCCCUUCAGUGCUGCAGCUAACGCAUUAAGUAAUCCGCCUGGGGAGUACGACCGCAAGGUUG
rnacentral:rRNA from 1 species